rnacentral:tRNA from 1 species
AGAGGACGUGGCCCAAUGGCAGAGCAUCUGCUUGGCACGCAGAGGGUUCCGGGUUCAAUCCCCGACCUCUC